rnacentral:rRNA from 1 species
AGUCGAGCGGCAGCGCGGGGCAACCUGGCGGCGAGCGGCGAACGGGUGAGUAAUGCAUCGGAACAUGUCCAUGUCGUGGGGGAUAGCCCGGCGAAAGCCGGAUUAAUACCGCAUACGCCCGAGAGGGGAAAGUGGGGGACCGCAAGGCCUCACGCGAUUGGGUUGGCCGAUGUCCGAUUAGCUAGUUGGCGGGGUAAAGGCCCACCAAGGCGAUGAUCGGUAGCUGGUCUGAGAGGAUGAUCAGCCACACUGGGACUGAGACACGGCCCAGACUCCUACGGGAGGCAGCAGUGGGGAAUUUUGGACAAUGGGGGCAACCCUGAUCCAGCCAUUCCGCGUGAGUGAAGAAGGCCUUCGGGUUGUAAAGCUCUUUUGUCCGGAACGAAACGGUGGACGUGAAUAUCGUCCAUUACUGACGGUACCGGAAGAAUAAGCACCGGCUAACUACGUGCCAGCAGCCGCGGUAAUACGUAGGGUGCGAGCGUUAAUCGGAAUUACUGGGCGUAAAGCGUGCGCAGGCGGUUUUGUAAGCCAGAUGUGAAAUCCCCGGGCUUAACCUGGGAAUGGCAUUUGGGACUGCAAGGCUCGAGUGCGGCAGAGGAGACUGGAAUUCCCGGUGUAGCAGUGAAAUGCGUAGAUAUCGGGAGGAAUACCGAUGGCGAAGGCAGGUCUCUGGGCUGACACUGACGCUCAUGCACGAAAGCGUGGGGAGCAAACAGGAUUAGAUACCCUGGUAGUCCACGCCCUAAACGAUGUCGACUGGUUGUUGGGGGUUUGACACUCUCAGUAACGAAGCUAACGCGUGAAGUCGACCGCCUGGGGAGUACGGCCGCAAGGUUAAAACUCAAAGGAAUUGACGGGGACCCGCACAAGCGGUGGAUAU